rnacentral:tRNA from 1 species
GUAGAUAUAGUUUAAAAAAAACAUUAGAUUGUGAAUCUAAUAAUAGAGUAUGAUCACCUCUUAUCUACC